ensembl:lncRNA
UUAAAAGAUAACGCCCACAUGUUGUAUCAUGUAAUCUAGAACUGACUCACAUCAUAAAGAUGAUCGCACAUUAGCAAAACGGUUUCCAGCAAGACCCAGUGUGUAUCAACCACUAAUGGCCAGGUGACCCUUCAGCUUUUCAAAAUGACACAUAAAAAAUGUGUUGGGCCUUGAUUGGCUGAAACCCUUCAGGUAACAGAGAGAAAAGCGGGGACAAACUAACAAGUAAAAUAGGUAGACUACUUGACCAGCACAGAUAAAAUAACAAGAGUAAAAAAAACAAUCCAUCUUGAUGACCUCAGCACAAGCUUCUAGUGUCUUUCAUUUCAUGUGUAGAAAAAACAGCCCCAACUCUUUAAAACUUAGCACAAAGCCAUUCUCACACAUUCCCCAUUAACACUUCCUCUAAAAACAGCCCCAUUAAAACCAACGUCAUGUCAUGUUCAUUAAGGUACACUACAAAAUCUUUUCAAAACAUUCUGCAACGGAAAGUGAAAAUAAGGGUUCCUUAUUGGACAAAGUCCAGGUAGUCCCUCCCAGUUUGAAUCCGUCCUGUUCUAUUUGGUGCCUAAUGAACAUGACCCAGAACAAAAUGUCCCAAUUCACGCUCAAUAAAGACUUGUAUCAGACUGGGCAACACUGAAGGUACUGUAAGAGAAUCCCCUAUCGACACCGUCACUACAAAUGUCCCUCUCCAACAAAGCAAAAACCAUCUCAGACUUCCAGAAAAUCUUUCAACAACGUUAGCGUCCCAACCAAUAUCCACCCAAAUCCCAUUCCAGUUCAAAAAAUAAAAUUAUAAUAAUCACAUCAUUGUACUAUCAAACCUCAAAAGGCCAAACCAGGCAGGUGAAAUAUGACAUUGUACACAUUGAGGAGUUCAAUCAGUUAAUACACAAAUCUCAGACAAUAAAAAUAAAUAGUCAUCCCAAAAUGAAGCCCUACCUACAUCUCUCCCAAACAUGAAUACCAUUACAGAAAGGUUGGUUUGUUCAGCUCGUAUGUGUUCAUCAUCAUCCAAUAUGUAUCGACCUGUAUUUGUAUGAUAUAGAUUCAAGAAAACCCUGAGCCAGUGUUUCUCCAACACCACCACAUGCACUACUAUAAAGUGUAGUGCACUACUUUUGGCCAAUAGUCCACUAUAUAGGGAACAGGGGCUUCAUUUGAGCUAACAGACAGUAUCAGUAAACCCACUGGCCUUUAGACACCAUAAGAGCUGUGGGGUAUUCCAGAAAGCAGGGUUAAUACAUCAGACAGCUAACUUUGAUUAACAGCCUUUGCCUCAUAUCUCUUGAUUUCCUGGUUGAUUAAAAUAAUCUACAUUUGUAUAAUAGUUGUUUCUGUUGUUGCUGUAGAGUCAUUUCAAACCAUUUCAAGCAAUUUGGGUCAGUUUGCUGGCUAACUCAUUGAUCAAGCUUUUUGGAACAGGCCCCAGACGAAUGUGACUGGUGCUAAUCAGCAUUUUGUAGGAGGAUAUAAUCAUCCCAUCAGUGUGCUGUGUGUGUAGGGCAACCAUUUGGGACUUAAAAUAUUAGUAAAAUUAGAACCACAUUUUCAGAUGAGUAGUACAAACACCAGAUUCAGAAAACACAAACAAGAUACUUACAUAUAGUACAAUGUAGGCUCAGCUAGCUAGCGGACAAAUGUAAAAGUAUCUAUGUAGGCUCAGCUGGUGGUCAACUAUAAAAGUAUCUAUGUAGGCUCAGCUGGUGGUCAACUAUAAAAGUAUCUAUGUAGGCUCAGCUGGUGGUCAACUAUAAAAGUAUCUAUGUAGGCUCAGCUAGUGGUCAACUGUAAAAGUAUCUAUGUAGGCUCAGCUGGUGGUCAACUAUAAAAGUAUCUAUGUAGGCUCAGCUAGUGGACAACUGUAAAAGUGUCUGACAAAACUGUUUCAAGUUAUGAGUGGCACCCAGACCCCAAACAGACCAAAAAAAGCUCCCUUCUGUCCCUGCCUCCACACUUAACAGAGUUGGUCUUGUACUUUCCUGGGUAACGUCCCAAUAAUCUCUCCCCCUGAAGUGUGCACUCAUUCACUACUCCCCACACAAUGUAAAAGUCUUGGAUUGUGUAGGCAUGGGCUAGAAGGAGUUUCCAUAUAGGUAUUCCAGUCAUUUCCUUUCAAACCCAUUGAGGGAAGUGAACAAGUGCACACUUCAGGAGAAAGAAGAGAUUAUUGGGAUGCAACCCAUGUCUGGCUGGGGACUAAUGUUGUAUUCGUCACAGAUUUAGAAAGUUACAAUAUAGUUUACUUGAUAAAAGAAGAAAAAAAGGACAACAAAAAACCAAGUCCAGUGUUGCUAGUACCAAUCCUCUACAUCGACGUUUCUAGGGAGGGAGAUAAACACAUUC